UACGUAGGGUGCGAGCGUUGUCCGGAAUCAUUGGGCGUAAAGAGCUUGUAGGCGGUUUGUCGCGUCUGCUGUGAAAAUCCGGGGCUCAACCCCGGACUUGCAGUGGGUACGGGCAGGCUAGAGUGUGGUAGGGGAGACUGGAAUUCCUGGUGUAGCGGUGGAAUGCGCAGAUAUCAGGAGGAACACCGAUGGCGAAGGCAGGUCUCUGGGCCACUACUGACGCUGAGAAGCGAAAGCAUGGGGAGCGAACAGG
rnacentral:rRNA from 1 species